rfam:Oryctes borbonicus contig9220, whole genome shotgun sequence.
GCUUCGUGAAAGACAUGGGUAGUGAGAUGUUUAACCAUUAUUUUUUUGUCUCACUACCUUGUCUUUCAUGGAGAG